rnacentral:rRNA from 1 species
UACAGAGGUCUCGAGCGUUAGGCGGAAUCACUGGGCUUAAAGCGUGUGUAGGCGGGUCGUUAAGUCCCUUGUGAAAUCCCAUGGCUCAACCAUGGAACUGCUGGGUAUACUGGCGAUCUUGUGCAACCUAGGGGCGAGCGGAACAGAUGGUGGAGCGGUGAAAUGCGUAGAUAUCAUCUGGAACGCCAAUGGUGAAAACAGCUCGCUGGGGGUUUGCAGACGCUGAGACACGAAAGCCAGGGGAGCGAACGGG